CCAAGUUCGAUCGUGUUUAUUGUGGACCUUGCCGUGUGACGUCACAGUAAGGCACGCGGUGAAUGCCAACGAACUCGCG
rfam:Ciona savignyi cont_4897, whole genome shotgun sequence.